rnacentral:rRNA from 1 species
CCUACGGGGGGCAGCAGUGAGGAAUAUUGGUCAAUGGCCGGAAGGCUGAACCAGCCAAGCCGCGUGAAGGACGAAGGUGCCAAGCAUUGUAAACUUCUUUUGUCAAGGGACAAAAUCAGGCUCGAGAGCCUGACCGAGGGUACUUGAAGAAAAAGCAUCGGCUAACUCCGUGCCAGCAGCCGCGGUAAUACGGAGGAUGCGAGCGUUAUCCGGAUUUAUUGGGUUUAAAGGGUGCGUAGGCGGCCUUUUAAGUCAGCGGUGAAAGUCGGUGGCUCAACCAUGGAAUUGCCGUUGAAACGGGGGGGUGUGAGUAUGUGUGAGGAAGGUGGAAUGCUUGGUGUAGCGGUGAAAUGCUUAGAGAUCACGCAGAACCCCGAUUGCGAAGGCAGCCUGCCAAGCCAUGACUGACGCUGAUGCACGAAAGCGUGGGGAGCAAACAGGAUUAGAUACCCCAGUAGUC